AAUAGAUACCCCGGUAGUCCACGCCCUAAACGAUGUCAACUAGCUGUUGGGGCCUUCGGGCCUUGGUAGCGCAGCUAACGCGUGAAGUUGACCGCCUGGGGAGUACGGUCGCAAGAUUAAAACUCAAAGGAAUUGACGGGGACCCGCACAAGCGGUGGAUGAUGUGGAUUAAUUCGAUGCAACGCGAAAAGCCUUACCUACCCUUGACAUGUCUGGAAUCCUGAAGAGAUUUGGGAGUGCUCGCAAGAGAACCGGAACACAGGUGCUGCAUGGCUGUCGUCAGCUCGUGUCGUGAGAUGUUGGGUUAAGUCCCGCAACGAGCGCAACCCUUGUCAUUAGUUGCUACGAAAGGGCACUCUAAUGAGACUGCCGGUGACAAACCGGAGGAAGGUGGGGAUGACGUCAAGUCCUCAUGGCCCUUAUGGGUAGGGCUUCACACGUCAUACAAUGGUCGGGACAGAGGGUCGCCAAGCCGCGAGGUGGAGCCAAUCCCAGAAACCCGAUCGUAGUCCGGAUCGCAGUCUGCAACUCGAC
rnacentral:rRNA from 1 species